UUAAAAUAUCACCAAACAUGUAUGCACUUGUGGAAUUUUUUAUUUUUGAAGAAGAAGGGAUAUCAGAAAUUGUUCCAGUUGAAAAAUAUUGAAGAGUUUGAUGGGACGUGCGACAAUUUGAAAGAAUGUAUUGUUAAUUGACAGCGCGCAGGGAAAAGAUAUCCCGCCUUUGUCAUGGCUCUGGAUGGCCAGACAAAAGAGAGAGAACGAUGGCUAAACCUGGUCAAUGGCUAAACCUGGUCCAAUGCUCCAUCCCCCUGCCCAACCCCACUCCACGCCAUUCCGCCAACCACCAGGAUGCCCAGCAUCAGAACAUUCCAGGCAUUCCCGUGAUUGGCAGAUAGCAGGUUGAUUGGCAUGUCGGACCCAGCGAACACUGGGUACUGAGUGUAUCACAGAAAAAGAAGAUGGCCAAGUCUGGAAAAAAACAUCAGGUGGAACUAAUGACCAGUAUAUCAUGUCAAGCCAGACCUCAAAGUGACACAGAGAAGGAGGAGGACCUGAGGAGGACCAGGAAAUGCAAAUGCAGCUAACCACUGCAAACUUUCAAAUAAGGGAGCUCUAACGAGAAAAUGCAGCACUCAGACAAUCUCUCUGUGGCUGAAGACAUGGCUGGUGGAUCCACACCCUUCUUCCAACCCCCAAAAGCAGCACUCCAAGACAUAGCCGUCACAACCCUCCCAGACAGCAUGCUCACAGCUUCAUUGCAUCCCUACCAGAGAGGCUGCUACACAGAGGUGCGGUACCAUAAUCUCUCUGGUUCCUUGCCAAACAAAGUUUCAAGCACUGUCUCACUUUGAAAGUUAAGAGUUUGGGAUGAAGAGUUGAGCCGCAUUGAGUAGUAGAGGUCAUGGAAGACACUAACAAUACAGGUACAAAAUUCCAUACAGAAUACAUUAUGACUCACUUCACACUUCAUUUCUAUAACUGUGCAACGAUUACUCUGCCGGGGGAAAAAAUAAAAAGUUAAACAAAGCUUUGAUCUCUCCUCACUCCAAAUCCAGAGAGCUUCCAGAAUUGGCGGCCGACCAGAUUGUUGCUGGCUAGUAUACCCAAUGUUUGUUGUUUACCAAGGACACUACAAAGCCUUAUGAAUUAUCGCAUAAUGUAUACCGCUGACAACGAUCUGAAGAAUCUGCUUUGUUGACUGCAUUCAAUUUGAUAACCAAAUUAAUUUAUUCAACACUUUUGUGUGUUUUUGUUUAUGCUGUGCACGGACAGAAUAAAG
ensembl:lncRNA